CCUACGGGUGGCAGCAGUGGGGAAUAUUGGACAAUGGGGGGAACCCUGAUCCAGCCAUGCCGCGUGUGUGAAGAAGGCCCUCGGGUUGUAAAGCACUUUCAGUGAGGAAGAACGCCUGGUGGUUAAUACCCAUCAGGAAAGACAUCACUCACAGAAGAAGCACCGGCUAACUCCGUGCCAGCAGCCGCGGUAAUACGGAGGGUGCGAGCGUUAAUCGGAAUUACUGGGCGUAAAGCGCGCGUAGGUGGCUUGAUAAGCCGGUUGUGAAAGCCCCGGGCUCAACCUGGGAACGGCAUCCGGAACUGUCAAGCUAGAGUGCAGGAGAGGAAGGUAGAAUUCCCGGUGUAGCGGUGAAAUGCGUAGAGAUCGGGAGGAAUACCAGUGGCGAAGGCGGCCUUCUGGACUGACACUGACACUGAGGUGCGAAGGCGUGGGUAGCAAACAGGAUUAGAUACCCGGGUAGUC
rnacentral:rRNA from 1 species